UACGGAGGGUGCAAGCGUUAUCCGGAUUUACUGGGUUUAAAGGGUGCGUAGGUGGGUAGGUAAGUCAGUGGUGAAAUCUUCGAGCUUAACUCGGAAACUGCCAUUGAUACUAUUUAUCUUGAAUACUUUGGAGGUAAGCGGAAUAUGUCAUGUAGCGGUGAAAUGCUUAGAUAUGACGUAGAACACCAAUUGCGAAGGCAGCUUACUACACAGUCAUUGACACUGAGGCACGAAAGCGUGGGGAUCAAACAGG
rnacentral:rRNA from 1 species